UUGAUUCAAAUCUCACUUCUCUGUGUCCUCUUUAUGAAAUCCUGUUCCUCUAGGGCUUUACAUGUACAUAGUUCUUACUGGAUUGACAGGGUUUGUGAGCGUUGGUUCCGGUGAAGUCAGCUAUUCACCAAGUUUCAUGAGUGUUUGAUGGACUGAAGUCUGUGGAGACAGACAAGGCUAUGCACCAAGUUUCACAGGUGUUUGUUUGACUGUAGUGUGUGUGCCCAAAGAGCUGAUUGUAACUGAAGAGCGCAGACAAGGCUAUG